GACAAGUAUGUGAAUAAACCUAGUUUUUUUUUAGUUUUUUUUUUUUUAUUAUAAUUUAAUAUAAAUACGACCUUAGUGAAUACAAGUUUCAUUCUGUGUCGAUCAUUUCUCCACUCCGCGUCUUUUCACGAGCCCAUUUAGUUUAAAUUAGCUUAAUACUAUUGUAAUUCCCGUCUUCGAGAAAGUAAAGAAGGUUCGGAAUCACGAAAUGAACAAUAAAAUUGUGGACCCCAUAGACUCGUGCAGUGCCGAAGAUAGUCCUAACAAUGACAAUCAGAAUAUGGAUGUUAUGGAUGUUUAUUCGCAACGCCCCGUUUGUUUUGGGGCUCGGCAAGUGGAGCCCUCAA